UACGAAGGGGGCUAGCGUUGCUCGGAAUGACUGGGCGUAAAGGGCGCGUAGGCGGUUCGUAUAGUCAGGCGUGAAAUUCCCGGGCUUAACCUGGGGGCUGCGUUUGAUACGUACGGGCUUGAGUUCGGAAGAGGGUCGUGGAAUUCCCAGUGUAGAGGUGAAAUUCGUAGAUAUUGGGAAGAACACCGGUGGCGAAGGCGGCUCUCUGGACCGUAACUGACGCUGAGGCGCGAAAGCGUGGGGAGCAAACAGG
rnacentral:rRNA from 1 species